rnacentral:lncRNA from 1 species
GAGCAGCACGCGACGUCACUGCCGAAUCAGCAUGUGACGCAUGGGGCGCUCGAUCUGUGCCUGCAUAAUGAUAGGCCUGGGUAAUAUGGGCCACAAUUUGGGCCUUCAUGAUGGUUGGCAAAAAUAUGCAUGGGGAUCUGUCCCCUCUCCAGCUUUAAAUCCGGCUGUAGUUGAUUUAAUUUGGGUACAGAUAAAAAUCGGG